AUUGAACGCUGGCGGCACGCUUUACACAUGCAAGUCGAACGGCAGCGCGGGCUUCGGCCUGGCGGCGAGUGGCGAGCGGGUGAGUAAUGCAUCGGAACGUGCCCAGUAGUGGGGGAUAGCCCGGCGAAAGCCGGAUUAAUACCGCAUACGACCUGAGGGUGAAAGCGGGGGACCGAAAGGCCUCGCGCUAUUGGAGCGGCCGAUGUCGGAUUAGCUAGUUGGUGGGGUAAAGGCUUACCAAGGCGACGAUCCGUAGCUGGUCUGAGAGGACGACCAGCCACACUGGGACUGAGACACGGCCCAGACUCCUACGGGAGGCAGCAGUGGGGAAUUUUGGACAAUGGGGGCAACCCUGAUCCAGCCAUGCCGCGUGCGGGAAGAAGGCCUUCGGGUUGUAAACCGCUUUUGUUCGGGAAGAAAUCCUCUGGGCUAAUACCCCGGGGGGAUGACGGUACCGGAAGAAUAAGCACCGGCUAACUACGUG
rnacentral:rRNA from 1 species